GCGCCUGUAGCUCAACUGGAUAGAGCACCAGACUUCGGAUCUGGGGGUUAAGGGUUCAAAUCCUUUCAGGCGCGCCA
rnacentral:tRNA from 2 species